GGUGAGUAACACGUGAGUAACCUGCCUUACACAAGGGGAUAGCCGUUGGAAACGACGAAUAAUACCCUAUGAAACUAUCACUUCGCAUGAAGCGAUAGUCAAAGUGUUAGCGGUGUAAGAUGGACUUGCGUCUGAUUAGCUAGUUGGUGAGAAAAAGCCCACCAAGGCAACGAUCAGUAGCCGGCUUGAGAGAGUGUACGGCCACAUUGGGACUGAGACACGGUCCAG
rnacentral:rRNA from 1 species